rnacentral:rRNA from 1 species
UACGGGGGGGGUAAGCGUUGUUCGGAAUUACUGGGCGUAAAGGGCGCGUAGGCGGCCCUCUUUGUCGCGUGUGAAAGCCCCGGGCUCAACCUGGGAACGGCGCGCGAAACGGGGGGGCUGGAGUUCGGGAGAGGAGCGUGGAAUUCCCAGUGUAGAGGUGAAAUUCGUAGAUAUUGGGAAGAACACCGGUGGCGAAGGCGGCGCUCUGGACCGAGACUGACGCUGAGGCGCGAAAGCGUGGGGAGCAAACAGG